GAAAUGCGAUACAUGGUGUGAAUUGCAGAAUCCCGCGAACCAUCGAGUCUUUGAACGCAAGUUGCGCCCGAGGCCACCCGGCCGAGGGCACGCCUGCCUGGGCGUCACGCACCGCGACGCUCCGCCCCACCUCCUCCCCCGACGGGAAGGACUCCGGGCGCGGACGCGGAGACUGGCCCCCCGUGCCCCACCGGCGCGGCGGGCCGAAGCUUAGGGCCUGCCGGCGGGAGCCGGACGCGACGGGUGGUGGACUGCCCGUACGUCGCGCCCCGGCCUCGUCGGCCAGAACGGCCACGACGGACCCCCAUCGCACCGAGACGCGAGCCUCGGACCGCGACCCCAGGUCAGGCGGGGCCACCCGCCGAAUUUAA
rnacentral:misc_RNA from 1 species